CUGGAUGAACUGACUGCACAGACCAUGUUUUCACUUCAAAAUAGAACGAGAAACUUCCUGGAUAAACCUGCGGCUGUUUGCAGAGUUUGGAGCCGUUUUCCUGCAGCUGCAGGCGGUUAGCAGCAGCUAAACUUUCUGCUCCUGCUCCACAAACUUCCUCCGGACCCUCCGACCUCCGGCCGCGCGGACACUCACCCUGGACUCCCGCUCCCGUUAGUCCAUAUUCCGGUUCGGUUCACUUAAAGGUUCCGAUCAUGACCUCUGCAGUGGACCGGCCCUUCAGAAGGUUCUCAUCGGACCGACAUGUUGAACAGACUGCUUCCCGAUUCCCUGAAGCUUUCCCCGGCCACGGCCUACGGGAGAAGGAGGCCCCGGUGGAGGUCAGCCAGUGACCAUAUAAGGACAUGCAGUACUCAGUCCGUCCACCAGAGGGAAAUAAAAGCAAACCGUCUCUCAUUUAGUUUUCAUCUAAUAAUUAAUAAAUGAUUCAUUUAAAA